AUGCAUUUGUGGAACAUCGAACUUGGCAACCUAUGCAUUCUGAAGAUUGCAGUGGAUGGACUGUCAGUAAAUGAUGUUGAUAUUCUUAGAGGGCUGCCUGCCCUCACUGCUCUGUCGUUGUAUGUGAAGAAGUCACCUGGUAUAAAGAUAAUAUUUGGCAUGGCUGCUGGAUUCACAGCUCUCAAGUACUUGAAGCUGAGGUUCAUGAGUGGAAUGGCCUGGCUAAAAUUUGAGGCGGACGCAAUGCCUAAUCUCUGGAAGCUCAGGCUCGUUUUCGAUGCCAUCCCCCGAAUGGACCAACGACUUGAUCUUUAUUUGGACCGUGAGCAGUGGAAACAAUAUCAACAUGGUACUGCAUUAAUCAGCAUGGAGCAUAUGGCAGGCCUUGGAGAGGUCUCUGCAAAAUUUGGGGGUGCACCUGCUGAUCUAGAUUAUGUCUCGAGGAUUGGCGUAGUUAGUAAUCAUCCGAGCGAUCCUAUAAUUGACGUGCAACUGGUGGAUUCUGGUACCCAUGGUGAUAAAAGGAUAUCAGCAAGGUCACCGGAGUCCACUUCCUGCUCGCUGCAUGUUCCAGGAGCGGGAGCUGGUGGAGAGGUGUCAUGGAGCAAUAUCAUUGGUGUGAUAGGUCGUGACCUCUUCAUCUCUUGCCUCCACCGCCUCUCCAGGUCCGAAUACGGCGCCAUUGCCUCCCUGAACCGUGACUUCAACUCGGUGGUUCGCAACGGGGACAUAUAUCGCCUCCGUCGCAAGAAUGGGGUGGCGGAACACUGGCUCUACCUCUAUUUCGGUAGUCCCCUGCAGUGGGAGGCUUAUGACCCGUCCACUGGGCGCUGGAUCCAAGUGCCCAACAUGCCACCGGCUGAAAGCACAAUCUGGGAGGCGCUCGCUGUAGGAACCAAGCUACUGGUGUUUGCGAACCGAAGGGUUGCCUUGAGAUAUAGCAUCCUUACCAAUUCAUGGACAUGGCUGGGUCAUGCUGAUGCGAUGAACACCCCGCGGUCCUGCUUUGGGUCAGCAAGUGUCGGUGAAAAGGCGUAUGUCGCGGGAGGCACUGAUUCUUCUUAUAGAGAAUUGAGCUCCGCAGAGAUGUAUGAGUCCGAGACACAUACUUGGGCACCCCUUCCCAGCAUGAAUAGGUCUAGGUACAAAUGCUCUGGCGCGUUCAUGGAUGGCAAGUUCUAUGUGAUCGGUGGUCUUACCCGUAGCCGCGAGCUCUUGACAUGCUGUGAGGAGUAUGACCUGAACCGGCGGUCAUGGAGGGUCAUAGAUAACAUGUCUCAGGGGCUCAACGAGACAAAGCUGGUAGCGCCUCCGCUCAUUGCAGUUGUCAACAAUGAGCUUUAUGCUGCUGAUUACAGCGAGAAUAAUGAAUUGACAGCUGGACAGCAAGUGGAUCACUCUUGGAAAAUUGCCUGUACAUUCUAA
rnacentral:rRNA from 1 species